UUAGAUUAUUCCAUUUUGGUGGGCCCUACUUGGUGCUACUGCCGUUCGCCUCGUGGAUAGAAAAAAAUAUUUCGCCAAGUUACACUUCCCACUUCGCAUGUGGGACGGGACGCGCGCUUUGUUGAAGUUGUGUAACUUCUUCAGUGUGCGCAAAUUACUUUGAAGAAACCGUUUUGUCGAGAUAGUUAUCUGGUGGGGACGUGCGCAGUUUUCAUUAACAGCUACAGUGGUGCGGUCGUCGUCCGGUGUUGACGACACAGAACCCCGUCCCAACGAACAAAGGAACAGUAAGGCCGAGGCACGCUCCUCAACGCAGUCUGAGCGGGGGAUACCUGGCAAAUUUAAAAUUAAACCUCAUUUGUCUUUGUUAUAGCAGCUUUAUUUGAGACAUAUUUGUCCCAAACAUAAUCAGCACACUAGCCUGACUCAUUCAGUCCCGUUAGCAAGAGUGGCUAAGGGUUAACUGGAAGCAAUUGUGGACAACUGGCGAGCUAACGGCUAACGUUAGCAUUGUUGUGAUACGGGCAAUAAGUUUUAGUUUUUGUUUCGGGGGAAAUGGCCGAAGUGUACAUUCGAGUGGCAGAAGAGGAAAAUGAAGAACCCAUGGAAAUCCCAUCGGAGGAUGACGGCACAGUCCUGCUUUCAACCGUGGCAGCUCAGUUUCCAGGGGCGUGCGGCCUACGGUUCAGGAGUCCCGUGUCUCAGUGCAUGCGAGGAGUGCGUCUGGUGGAAGGGGUCCUCCACGCUCCGGAAAACGGAUGGGGCAAUGUCGUGUACGUGGUGAACUACCCAAAAGACAACAAAAGAAAAAUGGAUGAAACCGAUGCCUCCUCUGCUGUGAAGAUGAAGCGAGGAGAUAUGAAGACAUCUGACCUGAUCGUCCUGGGUCUUCCUUGGAAAACAACAGAACAGGACCUGAAAGACUACUUCAGCACAUUUGGAGAAGUCAUCAUGGUUCAGGUAAAACGAGAUGCUAAGACUGGAAACUCUAAAGGAUUUGGCUUUGUGAGGUUCACAGAAUAUGAGUCUCAAGAAAAGGUGAUCUCCCAGCGCCAUAUGAUCGAUGGAAGAUGGUGUGACUGCAAGCUCCCUAACUCGAAGGUGAAUAUGCAAGGUCCAGACGAACCACUGAGGAGCCGGAAGGUGUUUGUUGGACGUUGCACAGAAGACAUGACCACAGAUGACCUACGUCAGUUCUUUAUGCAGUAUGGAGAAGUCACAGAUGUCUUCAUCCCUAAACCAUUCCGUGCAUUUGCCUUUGUCACAUUUGCUGAUGAUCAGGUUGCCCAAUCUCUCUGUGGAGAGGACCUUAUUAUCAAAGGAGUCAGCGUUCACAUCUCAAAUGCUGAGCCAAAGCACGGCAAUAGGCAGUUUGAUCGUACAGCCCGGUUUGGAAAUGGCUUUGGAGCUCAAGCAUUUGGUAGCAGCCGUAGUGGGUUAGGGAGCAGCACCAACAGUAGUCUGGCAAAUUUUGGUUCCUUCAGUCUGAACCCUGCCAUGAUGGCUGCUGCGCAGGCUGCUCUGCAGAGUAGUUGGGGGAUGAUGGGUAUGCUCGCUAGCCAGCAGCAGACCUCCACCUCAGGCAGCACUUCCAGUGGAACAAGCUCUAGUAGAGACCAGAGUCAGUCUUUCAGUACAGGAAACAGCAAUUACGGCACCAGCUCAGCCAGCCUCGGCUGGGGAACAGGGUCAAACUCUACAACCGGCGGUAGUGGGUUUAGCUCAGGUUUUGGGUCCAGCAUGGAGUCAAAGUCAUCUGGGUGGGGUAUGUAAGUUAAGUGUUCGUAUGGUAAGUAUUGUGAGAAAGAUGAGUCUUUUCGAAAUUUAUUUCUGGUGUUAAAUGCGUAUCUGAAAACUUAACACUUUUGUGGAAGCUGUUUUGUACAUUUGGGAAAAAAUGCUAAAGAUUUAAUUUAGAAAGUGUUGAAGUGAAUUGUUUACCAGGAUGUCCGAUUAAAGUGCUAUUUUUGAUGUCUUGUUUGUUUGUAUCCAUUUCAACUGGAUUCUCUAAUGCAUGCAUUGUGAAAUGUGAUAACCAUUUUGAAAAUGCAUGAAUGUUUGUGGUUCGCCAUUAUCCGGCUUUGUCAUCGACUCAAAAGGCAAUCUUGCAUUGGGAAGAAUCUGGUUGAAACCUAAAUGUUUUAAGUGCAACUUUUAUUUGCAGUCAAGUACUAUGGAAAAGCCUUCAUUGAAAUCUCUUCUGCAGUUCACCUCUCUUCCAUUUUCCUGUGAGGAAGCUCCUCUUUGGCAGCAUUCUUGGGGUGAUAUCGGUAUCAUUCUCCCUCUUCCCACCUGUAAAUGCUAUGCCAUCAAAGAACGGCUUCACUCCGCAUGUUCUAAGAGACGGGACCUUGGGCUCUGCUGGUCGAGGUCUCCGUUUGAACCCUGACUGAAGUCUGUUCUGAAGGAUGAAGAUGGAAGUUCCAACACUUUCAGUGUGUGGCCUUCUCAGACAUGACAUGGGGUAGUACCUGUCUUUUUGCUGCUUUUGAUGGCUUGUUGGAGUGAAAUAUCCCUUUUGAUUAUUCACAGCUACUUUGAGGUUAGCGGGAUUUUUCUGGGGAUUCAUUCUUUAUUUCAGCUUUAAACAAACCAACUCAGCAACGUGGCAUCACCAAACUCAUUUCAUUUGACUUGGCUGUAGUGCUAAGACGACUGAUGUCACAUUGCUGAGCCUUGGGUUUGGGGGAUUGUUUAGAUGGCCUUACACAUUGUGGGUUGUUUCCCAUGUGCAGAACAACACUUAACAUAUUAAAGUUUGAAGGAGAAUUGUUGGUAGGUAAGUGUGUAGUCUGAGACACAUGCAGGAUUAUGGAGACAUUUUUGUAGAAAGUGUCACUUUAAUGUUAAUCAGUUCACACUCAGCGAUUUUCAUUUGUCAAACCAGUGCCAACUGCACAGCAACUUGACAUAGUAUUAACAGGUGCAGACUAGAGUUAUUUCCCAUAGGCUGGCAUAGAGGAUAAGGCAAAGGAUAGUAGAAAAACAAAGUCUUAUGCUGUAGACCAAUUGAAAUUCACUUAAAAACCAGGAGACUUGAUGACACGUAACUGAUACUUGCUAUGUAUUGAACCAAUAUUCAUGUUUAUUUGAAUGUCGGCCAAUAGUGAGACACUGCAGGUUUGCCUGUGUCCUGUCCUUAUUCUCUGUCGUCCUCCGUGUCUUUGCUCUUCCUCUUCCCCGUACUCUUCUUUUUCAAUUGCUGCUCCUGGGCCAGUUCUUCGCUUUUAUUUUGUAUGUAGUUUGUCUGAAAUGAAUAAAGGAGAAUUAUACAUGA